GUUUAUUAUAAUAAUAGGAAAAGCACAUAUAAAUGUUGACACUUACAUGGACUUUUAAAAUAGCCUACCUGGGUAUGGCAGGAAAGGUGGGCCAGGAAAGUCCCUUGGAUGAAAACGAUCUGGAGGACAUGCAGGCAGUAAAUAUGGGCCAUUGAAGUGCCUUGGUGUUAAAUAACCUGGCGGAUCUGCAUGCAUGUUUCCUGGAGGAGGUGCUGGGAAUGGGGGUGGGCCAGCAAAGUCCCUUGAUGUAACAGAAUCUGGAGGACCAGCAUGGAUGUUUCCCAGAGUAGGCGGUGGGGAUAGGGGUGGCCUACUCAUAACGGGACUUCUUGGAUCUUCUGCAAUGGGAGGGCCUCUGGGGUCUCUAUCCUGGGGAACCGGUGAAGGGAUGGAGCCAGGGCCAGCUCCCUCUGAUUCAGCAGGAACAGAGUUGGGCAGAGUUGAGUUCUGUAAGAGAGUGAAAAUCAGCAGUUAG
rnacentral:lncRNA from 1 species